rnacentral:rRNA from 1 species
GGAGUUAGCCGGUGCUUCUUCUGUGAGUGAUGUCCUUCCUGCCGGUUAUUGACCCGCAGGCCUUCUUCCUCACUGAAAGUGCUUUACAACCCGAAGGCCUUCUUCACACACGCGGCAUGGCUGGAUCAGGGUUGCCCCCAUUGUCCAAUAUUCCCCACUGCUGCCUCCCGUAGGAGUCUGGGCCGUGUCUCAGUCCCAGUGUGGCUGAUCAUCCUCUCAGACCAGCUACGGAUCGUCGCCUUGGUGAGCCGUUACCUCACCAACCAGCUAAUCCGACAUAGGCUCAUCCGAUAGCGCGAGGCCCGAAGGUCCCCCGCUUUCCCCCGUAGGGCGUAUGCGGUAUUAGCCUGGGUUUCCCCAGGUUAUCCCCCACUACCGGGCAGGAUUCCUAUGCAUUACUCACCCGUCCGCCGCUCGCCACCAGGGAGCAAGCUCCCCGUGCUGCCGCUCGACUUGCAUGUGUUAGGCCUGCCGCCAGCGUUCAAUCUGAGCCAGGAUCAAACUCUGA